GUUUGAUCAUGGCUCAGAUUGAACGCUGGCGGCAGGCCUAACACAUGCAAGUCGAACGGUAACAGGAAGCAGCUUGCUGCUUUGCUGACGAGUGGCGGACGGGUGAGUAAUGUCUGGGAAACUGCCUGAUGGAGGGGGAUAACUACUGGAAACGGUGGCUAAUACCGCAUAACGUCGCAAGACCAAAGAGGGGGACCUUCGGGCCUCUUGCCAUCAGAUGUGCCCAGAUGGGAUUAGCUUGUUGGUGAGGUAACGGCUCACCAAGGCGACGAUCCCUAGCUGGUCUGAGAGGAUGACCAGCCACACUGGAACUGAGACACGGUCCAGACUCCUACGGGAGGCAGCAGUGGGGAAUAUUGCACAAUGGGCGCAAGCCUGAUGCAGCCAUGCCGCGUGUAUGAAGAAGGCCUUCGGGUUGUAAAGUACUUUCAGCGGGGAGGAAGGUGUUGUGGUUAAUAACCGCAGCAAUUGACGUUACCCGCAGAAGAAGCACCGGCUAACUCCGUGCCAGCAGCCGCGGUAAUACGGAGGGUGCAAGCGUUAAUCGGAAUUACUGGGCGUAAAGCGCACGCAGGCGGUCUGUCAAGUCGGAUGUGAAAUCCCCGGGCUCAACCUGGGAACUGCAUUCGAAACUGGCAGGCUUGAGUC
rnacentral:rRNA from 1 species